rnacentral:misc_RNA from 1 species
UAAAGUGCGAUAUGUAGUGCGAUUUGCAUGAAUCUGUGAGUCAUCUAAUCUUUGAACGCAACUUGCGCCUCUCCCGAGGCAUGUCUGUUUGAGCGCCGCAUACCUAUGCAGCAAUGCGAGCUGAUCCGUGUCGACUGGACUGGACUGGAUCUAAACGCAGCCAGAUAAUGGUCUGUGAGACUAGGCCGAGUGCUAAACGUUCUUGGUCCCUGGCUCUAUUACCAUGAAAUUUAUUUUAUUUUAUUUGGCCUCAAAUCAGGCAGGACUACCCGCUGAACUUAA